CAUCCUCUGCAGUGUUCGAUAGGUACGCCGGGUAUACCCCUUGAUCCUAAGUAUUAAUACCCGGGAAACAAGCUGUAAAUCGUUGUUGUGCAUGUCCGCAUACCUGCGGAAAGCCUGAAACGCUACACGAGUUUCCCACUUGGACCAACUAGGUUCAAGGGUAAAGGCUCACCAACGGCACAGGCGGAGGGUGU
rnacentral:other from 1 species